rnacentral:rRNA from 1 species
CGCCCGUCGCUCCUACCGAUUGGGUGUGCUGGUGAAGCGUUCGGAUUGGUACGUUGUGGCGGUUUCCGCCGCGGCGCGCCGAGAAGUUCUCUAAACCCUCCCACCUAGAGGAAGGAGAAGUCGUAACAAGGUCUCC